UACGGGGGGGGCAAGCGUUGUUCGGAAUUACUGGGCGUAAAGGGCUCGUAGGCGGCCUUCUAAGUCAGACGUGAAAUCCCCAGGCUUAACUUGGGAACUGCGUCUGAUACUGGGAGGCUUGAGUGCGGGAGAGGGAUGUGGAAUUCCAGGUGUAGCGGUGAAAUGCGUAGAUAUCUGGAGGAACACCGGUGGCGAAGGCGGCAUCCUGGACCGACACUGACGCUGAGGCGCGAAAGCUAGGGGAGCAAACGGG
rnacentral:rRNA from 1 species